rnacentral:rRNA from 1 species
CUAACCUACGGGACGCAGCAGUGAGGAAUAUUGGUCAAUGGGCGGGAGCCUGAACCAGCCAAGUCGCGUGAGGGAAGACGGUCCUACGGAUUGUAAACCUCUUUUGCCGGGGAGCAACGGGGUCCUUGCGAGGGCCCGAUGAGAGUACCCGGAGAAAAAGCAUCGGCUAACUCCGUGCCAGCAGCCGCGGUAAUACGUAGGGGGCAAGCGUUAUCCGGAUUUACUGGGUGUAAAGGGAGCGUAGGCGGCGAUGCAAGUCAGAAGUGAAAGCCCGGGGCUCAACUCCGGGACUGCUUUUGAAACUG